AUUGAACGCUGGCGGCAUGCCUUACACAUGCAAGUCGAACGGUAACAGGUCUUCGGAUGCUGACGAGUGGCGAACGGGUGAGUAAUACAUCGGAACGUGCCUAGUAGUGGGGGAUAACUACUCGAAAGAGUGGCUAAUACCGCAUGAGAUCUACGGAUGAAAGCAGGGGAUCGCAAGAUCUUGUGCUACUAGAGCGGCCGAUGGCAGAUUAGGUAGUUGGUGGGAUAAAAACUUACCAAGCCGACGAUCUGUAGCUGGUCUGAGAGGACGAUCAGCAACACUGGGACUGAGAAACGGCCCAGACUCCUACGGGAGGCAGCAGUGGGGAAUUUUGGACAAUGGGCGAAAGCCUGAUCCAGCAAUGCCGCGUGCAGGAUGAAGGCCUUCGGGUUGUAAACUGCUUUUGUACGGAACGAAAAGCCCCGGGUUAAUACCCUGGGGUCAUGACGGUACCGUAAGAAUAAGCACCGGCUAACUACGUGCCAGCCGCCGCAGUAA
rnacentral:rRNA from 1 species